rnacentral:tRNA from 1 species
GAAAGUAUAGCUCAGUGGUAGAGCAUUUCCCUAGCAUGUGAGAAGCCCUGGGUUCAAUUCCAAGCACUGCCA